rnacentral:tRNA from 1 species
AAAGGGAGACUUAAUUCGGGUAUGGGAUGAAAAAAAAGUAGUCCCAACCAAGAAUCAAUCCCAAAAGGUCGGAGCGAGGCGAAAUUGGCUUUCAAACUAGGUUCUGGGUUCACAGAAGACCUGAAUCAGGAACAAGGGCUAUUAGCUCAGGUGGUUAGAGCGCACCCCUGAUAAGGGUGAGGUCCCUGGUUCGAGUCCAGGAUGGCCCACCUGCACAGGUGGUAAAAACAAGAGAAGCGAGGAAUCAGCACCUUAUCUUACUUACAUAGUAAGAGAGAAUGCUGGCUCUGAGUAAAGAGUCCAGAGGAACCUUGAAAACUGCAUAGAGCUAGGUGAAAAAGCCAAAAAAGAAGACCGCAAG